CCCUAUAGAACUUAAUAAUUUCAACAUAAAUUUAUGUUGAAAUUAUUAUAUUGGGGUGAUAUUGAUUUUUCUUUAACAAUUAUUUUUUAUUCAAUGAUUAUUGAGUUUAUGAUCCAAUUUUUUUGAUUAUAAGAUUAAGUUACCUUAGGGAUAACAGCGUAAUUUAUUUGGAGAGUUCUUAUCGAUAAAUUGAGUUUGCGACCUCGAUGUUGAAUUAAGAUUAAGAUUAGGAGUAGAUUCUUAUAUAUUUUGGUCUGUUCGACCAUUAAUUUCUUACAUGAUUUGAGUUUAGACCGGUGUGAGCCAGGUCGGUUUCUAUCCUUAAUUUAUUUUAUUAUUUUUUAGUACGAGAGGACCAAAAAUUAAAUUAAAAUUUA
rnacentral:rRNA from 1 species